CUCUGGAGCUCCUCCUCUUCACUAACUCUGCCCGCGACGGACGGCUCCAAAGAAAAAGAGGAUGAGGAGUAGUGCCCCACUGCCCCACGCGUAGGUUGCACAAAUACAACUCAAAGUUUAUGCAUCGGGGGUCGGAUACCUCCGCCGUCCGCCACUGCCUCGCACAGGACUCCAGGUAAUUGAAUUGUAUAUUUCCCAUCUCGAGGACGCCCGGCGAGAUGCAGUCCGUCGCCCUCGAAAACCAGCUGCCACAAGGCGGAGCAGAGGCCACAGAGAGCUCGGUAAUGGGGCGUUCAGCAUCCAGGGAGCCAGGCCGGAGGAGACGCCACUGAGGGAGUGGUCUUCGACCUCCAGCAUCCAGGGAGCCUGGCUGGAGCCAAGUCCGUCGGCGGCUCAGUCGCCCUCCCUAAUCUAAAAGUGAGCGGCCUAAUCCGUAGGCGCGUUCUGGAUGGACGCCCACCACUCCGUGCCGCCACUACAUCAAGCAGAGUUCUUGCUGCUACAGAUCUUGGGUCCCCUGCCAUCCGUGCUAUGAAGAAGACCAACCUCACAAUUUUUCUUGAGCAUUGGAACAAUCUGCAUCUUGAAAAGAUAAAGGCACAAAAAGUACUAAAGGGGUGUCCUGCACAACCAGUACGCGGCUGUUGUUAUGUAUAUAACAGAGUUUCUAGAAGAUGUCUGGGCACGGCGCCUUAUAUGAACUUCUCUUCAAAAUUUCUUUGAGAGGCUUCUUAACGAGUGGAUGAGCUGGAUGAUAUGGAGAAGCGGAAGGCAAACGGGGAGUCAAUGUUUGCAAUGCUCAAGUAGUGUCAUGGUAUUUCAGUCCCAUGUUCCAGUUUUGUAGGAAAAAAGCGAGAAUCUUCCAGUUUUCUUUCUGCCAGUCUCUUUGUGAUACUUUUUUUCUUAUAAUUUCAAAUUAAAGUAUUGUGAAAAAAUGGACAAAUAACAAAAAGAAUGGGGUAAAUUAGGAUUUGAAAUUAUUCUUGUGGUGUCAUGUUAACCGUUGGGAGCUGCAAGAAGACAUGAUGAUAUCCUUCUAAGUUGAAGUUGAAUGUUUGCUUCCGAACCACUUAAAUCAAAAUUUAACUGCAAGGAAUUGAUGUAAUUGCGAUAACAAACUCAGAUGAUCAGUUGAGUGCCAAGUUUUAGAUAUGUGUGUGUGGAGUACUGCAGUUCAGCUUUGGGAAGUUAUUUGGCAGAGCAUGAUCAUGGACAGGGAUGUGUGGUUCCGUGGAGAAUCUAAGCUAUCUCCCUAUGGUCGCUUUUAACUGACCUCAAUUCGGUUUAUGUAGGACCUAUUCUAGGAAAGAGGGAUAAAUAACGUAACAAUAGAUUUUAUCUCAUUAAUGUUAUUAUUACAAAAGGAAGAGAUCAGUGAUUUGAUUUGUCCAAUUAAUUUUUGUCUGGUUACUUAGUUCAACUGACUAUGACACAUCAGUUGGAAGGAUAAUUACAAAAAUGUAGCCUUUUCAUACAUAUUUGCAUCUUUCUAAGAUGAAUGCUUGCUUGCUGUAAUAGGAUUUGGGACCAGAUGGAGAAUGUACUUCUUUUUGCACUUGCUUCUCUCAUAUUUUUGCCGUAGAUUUGUGCAUUGCUGGGCAAUUUUAAGAUGCUAAGCGAGUGUUUCUUUCAUUAGGUCUUGUUGUUGUUGCAUGAUUAUGAUUCUCUCAUUUUUUUUGAAACAAUGUCGGUGCCAAGUACUAAGACUACAGAGUUAGAUUUACAUUGUUGUCAUUGUCCAAUAAGUUUCUUUCUGUAUAAUUAAAUACUUACCUUUAAUAAAAGGGAAUAGGUAACAUAAAUUUUUCAACCACUAUUUCUUUCUGAAUAUUAAUUACUUGUCCUUUUUUUUUGCUCCAAGUGACAUUUGAAAUUAUGCACACUGAUAUUUUUUUGACAUGGAGAAGCUAAACCUAAUGUAUAGGGGACACUCUUUUUUGCAUGAUUGUUCUAGCUAACUAAAUUAAAAAAAUCCUAGAGAAGGAAACUGUUACUUGGCCAAUAUACAUUAUUUAGUGCAUUUUUUAAUCAGAGCCUAUUUGUUCCCUUACUAAUGCUUAUCACACUAGAAAUGAAUAUGCUCAUGUUGCAUAGAUUUUGAUUUAGUGACCAUGCACCUAAAGAGAAUGCCGAUUGAGAUUUGGGAACAACCCAAGUACCUCGCUGUUUGUACCCAGCGGCGGCAGUGGUUAAUUGAAGUGGGAAAUGGAUGACAACGGGUGGAGGACACCGUUGUGCCCGGACGGGCGCGUUAUGGAGGUCCUCAUCGUUAGGAUCACAUGGCCAUGCGGACGCGCUGCCGCGAUGAGUCCACAACGAUGGCAACAAGGACGUAGCGCAGGAGCAACAGAGCAGUAAAUGGCAGCGACGGGGCACUGCAGGGAGACGUCGUCCCGUGGUUUGGUGAGUCGUUGGCGUAAAGAAGGGAAGCAUAACGCAGCUGCCGCGGUAGCAGAGAGCCCUAGGCUGGCUUUAGAAUUAGAGGUAGAAGUUCGAAAUAUGCAGACCAAUGAUGAAGGGCAGUGAAUUAUCAGGUUACGUACUAAUUUCGAAAUAGAUUUCUUUUAUGUUCAUGUAGCUAUCUGUAUAACUUGCUGUGAACAUGGAUUUCCCAUGGAUAUUAUUUUUAUUGGAAGAAAUAAACUUGAUGGACUGUAGCAACGCACACUCCUUUAACGGCAAUCGCACAUUUUAUUAUUGCAA